GGUUCGAUCAUGGCUCAGAUUGAACGCUGGCGGGAUGCUUACACAUGCAAGUCGAACGGCAGCACGGACUUCGGUCUGGUGGCGAGUGGCGAACGGGUGAGUAAUGUGUAUCCGGAACGUGCCUGGCGGGGGAUAACUACGCGAAAGCGUAGCUAAUGCCACAUACGCCCUUCGGGGAAAAGCAGGGGACCUUCGGGCUCACUAUUAGAGCGGCCGAUAUCGGAUUAGCUAGUUGGUGGGGUAACGGCUCGCAAAGGCGACGAUCCGUAGCUGGUUUGAGAGGACCAGCCACACUGGGACUGAGACACGGCCCAGACUCUACAGGAGGUAGCAGUGAAAUUUUGGACAAUGGGGAAACCUGAUCCAGCCAUCCCGCGUGUGCGAUGAAGGCCUUCGGGUUGUAAAAGCACUUUUGGCAGGAAAGAAACGGCACGGGAUAAUACGUGCAACUGACGAAAUCUACAAAUAAGCACCGGCUAACUACGUGCCAGCAGCCGCGGAAAUGUACCGUCAGGGUGCAAGCGUCAUCGAGAUUACUGGGCGUAAAGCGUGCGCAGGGCAGUUCGGAAGAAAGAUGUGAAAUCCCAGAGCUUAACUUUGGAACACAUUUUUCUUCCUCCGAAACUAGAGUGUGUCAGAGGGGUGGAAUUCCGCGUGUAGCAGUGAAAUGCGUAGAUAUGCGGAGGAACACCGAUGGCGAAGGCAGCCUCCUGGGAUAACACUGACGCUCAUGCACGAAAGCAUUAAGGGCAAACAGGAUUAGAUACCCUGGUAGUCACCCCAAACGAUGUCAACUAGCUGUUGGGGCCUUCGAACACUUGGUAGCGCAGCUAACGCGUGAAGUUGACCGCCUGGGAGUACAGUCGCAAGAUUAAAACUCAAAGGAAUUAUUGACGGGGACCUACGCACAAGCGGUGGAUGAUGUGGAUUAAUUCGAUGCAGCACGAAAAACCUUACCUACCCUUGACAUGUCUGGAAUCCCGAAGAGAUUUGGGAGUGCUCGCAAAGAGAACCGGAACACAGGUGCUGCAUGGCUGUCGUCAGCUCGUGUCGUGGAUGUUGGGUUAAGUCCGCAACGAGCGCAACCCUUGUCAUUAGUUGCUACGAAGGGCACUCUAAUGAGACUGCCGGUGACAAACCGGAGGAAGGUGGGGAUGACGUCAAGUCCUCAUGGCCCUUAUGGGUAGAGGGCUUCACGUCAUACAAUGGUCGGGACAGAGGGUCGCCAACCCGCGAGGGGAGCCAAUCCCAGAAACCCGAUCGUAGUCGGAUCGCAGUCUGCAACUCGGCUGCCAUGUAGUCGAUCGCUAAUCGCGGAUCAGCAUGUCGCGGUGAAUACGUUCCCGGGUCUUGUACACGCCCGUCACACCUGUAGAAUUGCGCGUGUACUUCGUUCGG
rnacentral:rRNA from 1 species